rnacentral:rRNA from 1 species
AUGAACGCUGGCGGCGUGCCUAACACAUGCAAGUCGAACGGAGUCCAGCCUUUAAGACCUUCGGGUCAAAGAGGGGAAGACUGAGUGGCGGACGGGUGAGUAACACGUGGGCAACCUGGCUCAUAGAGGGGGAUAACAGAGAGAAAUUUCUGCUAAUACCGCAUAAGCACACACUGCCGCAUGGCAGAGGGUGAAAAGAGAAUCGCUAUGAGAUGGACCCGCGUCUGAUUAGCCAGUUGGCAGGGUAAGAGCCUACCAAAGCGACGAUCAGUAGCCGAUCUGAGAGGAUGAACGGCCACAUUGGGACUGAGACACGGCCCAAACUCCUACGGGAGGCAGCAGUGGGGGAUAUUGCACAAUGUGGGGAACCCUGAUGCAGCGACGCCGCGUGAGUGAAGAAGUAUUUCGGUAUGUAAAGCUCUAUCAGCAGGGAAGAUAAUGACAGUACCUGAAUAAGAAGCCCCGGCUAACUACGUG